rfam:Bacillus sp. LF1 genome assembly, contig: CONTIG000001
AUAUGACUCUGUUAGGUGAGGCUCCUGUAUAGAGAAACGCUACUGCCCAAAAACGUCGAGAGACGCCAAUGGGUCAACUAGAAAGGUCGGAAUGAAGGCCUUUUUUAACGUAGCUGGUUUGUACCUAUGCUAUACAGUGCUAAAGCUCAACGAGGGAGAGGUGCGA